rnacentral:rRNA from 1 species
UACGGAGGAUCCGAGCGUUAUCCGGAUUUAUUGGGUUUAAAGGGAGCGUAGACGGCGGGGCAAGUCUGGAGUGAAAGGCCGGGGCCCAACCCCGGGACCGCUCUGGAAACUGCCCGGCUGGAGUGCGGGAGAGGUAAGCGGAAUUCCUAGUGUAGCGGUGAAAUGCGUAGAUAUUAGGAGGAACACCAGCGGCGAAGGCAGCUUACCAAACUAUAUCUGACGUUGAGGCACGAAAGCGUGGGGAGCAAACAGG